CCGUUCUGAGUUUUCUGUUGCACGAUUAAAACAGCCUUUGAACGUACACGUUCCACCAAGACAAAUUCCUUCCCGAUGCUAUUUUGCAGCGGCACCGUGGUUCCGUCCGGUGCUUAACGCCAUCCAAGACGAUUGUGAUUGGUUUAAAGAAAUGCCAAUAAACCAGAGCAUGUUUCUCUCCCAUCCCGAAAUGCUGUGUGGACUAGCCAGACCCUCCUCCGCGGCGCUGUGGAGGAAGGUCUGGCAAAGCGAGACUAGUGUUCAUGUAAUGGGUAUUAACAGUAUAUUCUGUACACACUGUGAUGUACGACCUCAGCACUUCACAUGCCAAAAUCUUAGCAAUGUAUUAACCUUUUUAUUGGGUAUAGAUAUUGGGAAAUGUAACUCUUACACUGGUGUUACCUUUGUGACAACUCAAUGGGUGCAUUUAUUUAUCUGAUAACCUUAUAAGCUCGUCUACAACAAAGCCUUAACAGCAACUUGGUCUGUCUGUGAAACACAAUUUGUGUGAUGUCGUUUUAUCAUUUUCUGGACAAGCUUUCUUACACUUAACCCUUUCUUCCUGUUUUUCAACAGCCAUACCAGCAUACUGAGACACACACACACACACACACACACACACACACACACACACACACACACACACACACACACACUUACAGUAGUGUGGCAGCUUGUUUCCUGUUUUAUCUUUCACCCAGUAUCAGGUUUAGAUUGGGUCUUAGACCCAGUGAGCAUUGCCAAGGUGCCAAUGUACUGUUCUGACUGACAUUGACUCACUGCUGUUACCUCUCUACAGCUAUUACAGUACUUCCUUUUUACACUUGCUGUACUGUGUGCACUGCAUCGUAUGUCACGUAAAGCCAAUUAGUAAUUGCAAAAACCUCUAAUUCUAACUUCUAAUUCAUAAUACAUUGCAGUGAGUAUCAAGACAAUUAAGAAAACUAUAUAGCAUCUUUAAUAUAAAAAAAAAUAUGUACAAUUCAUUGUCUUAAUGUUACUAAACUGAUCAAUAUGGAGCUGAUAUAACCUAAAACAAAGCAUAUAAAGAAUUUGUAAAUACUACUUGGUCCAAAUGUAAAAUAUAUCGCUAUAAAAUGGCUCUUUUUUUAACCACUCUGCUCUAAAUAUGUAUAGUUAAGGUUGUCACGUUUAAGAUUCCCAUCUGGCAUGGUCGAGGCUGUGUACUGUACACGGUGCUAACAGAAGCCGGAGCCAUAACCUGAGCUUUAUGAUUCCACCAACCCAGCCAACACACAGUGUAUUCUUCAUACAAUGUAAUACUAUAAAACUAUUACAGAUACUGUUUAUUGACAAAAGUGUCGAAACAAUUAUAUAACAAUUUCUUACAAAGUUAAGUCACUGGCCGAGUUGUAAGAAAGUGGCCAUAUUCAUAUCUAUCUAUGUUAAUAAGUAAAUUAAUGUCUUAACUAUAGCACUCUAUUGGCUUUGCUGAAACUACCACUAUAUAUAAGCUGUGAUAUUGUCUAAAGUACAAACUGUUGUCACUGUGUUUGACUUCUCUCCUGUUAUGGGGAAUCAUUUCUCAGCGGUUACUAAGAAUAAACCAUGUACUCAGAACACCACUGUAUCGUACCUAAAACCGGUUGCCUUGUAUUUCAAUACCUCUCAGAAUCAGAACUGAUACAGGGUCAGUGAGCCAUACUGGUUUCACUAACAAGUACAAAUGUGUACUGUAUGUGUUUAAUACAGGUUUUCAUGCCAGAGUGAUUAUUAUAUCUGAUUCACUAUAAUUAUUAUCGUAUUAAAAAGAUGUUUGUCUCAUGAAAUCUGUUAAUUUACUGUGACAGUUUAAAGAGAUUUGUUUAGGCCUACCUGGUAUUAUAUAUACAGUACAGUAGCUUCUAUCAUGAGGUCGGACAAAAAAAAGUUAUGUUUUCUGUUUUUUUACCCCCUUAAAGGGCCAUACAUGUUCAAAAGUAAGCACUGUGCUCAAUUAACUAAUCAUGUGGUGCAAUUUCACCCCAAAUUUAACUGUGCGUGUCCAAUAGUAUAAUCUCCAUCUUCACAUAUAGAUUAGAUAAUUAUCCCAGUGCCCAACACUCAGAAGUAAGUAGAACACAUCCUUUAUCUUUUGGUGGGUUUGAGUCCAAUCUAGUGCUGCUAUUACUGAGAGAAGUUUAAAUGCUGUUUUUUUUUUCUCUGUAUUUUGAUCAUUUGUUUUCGAGUAUGAUCAGCACAGAGACUAAUGCACCGUGUGAGAAAAUGAUUAUGGCUGCUGUGGAGAAAACAAUCUCACUACAAGGUUAGUUUAGUGUUUAAGUUUUUAGUGGAUCUGGAGAUUAUGUUUAUACUCCCAUUUUUUCUGAAUACUUUAAACACUUCUUGUCCAUGUUUGCUUUAAAAAGCUGAAAGUACAUUCUUGACCAAACAGUUUCAAAAUAUGCGCCCGGAUAGCUCAGUUGAUGGAGCGGGCUCCCUUAUGUGGAGGUUUGCUCCUCGACGCAGCGGGCUGGGUUAGACUCCGACCUGCGGCCCUUUGCUGCAUGUCAUUCCCACUCUCUCUCCCCUUUCAUGUCUUCUGCUGUCCUAUCAAAAAAAAGACUGAAAAUGCCCCAAAAAAAAUCUUUAAAAUAAAUAAAUAAAUAAAAAAGUUAAUUUCUAAUAGCUGUUUUUAUGGCCUUCAAUCAUAUCACAUGAACAUUUCUAUUCUUUCUCUGGCAACGAUAGCUACUGGUAGUAGCAGAUAGCUAAAGUACAUGCUAGCUACCUUAAUGUCUUAAGGUAAAGUAAUCUUAUGCUUAAUAAGUUUGAUAGAAUUAUUAAAUGAACCCCUUCGAAUGAAGCCUAUGGUGUCCAAAAUGAAUACAUGUACUGGUGAGUUAAUAAGAUGUUUGCCAUCUGAAUUUUUGAAUGUACAUUUCUGUUCUGACAACCAACCUCUGAGCACUGUGAACAAUAAAAUAAAUCUUUUUCAAUUAACACCCAAUGCAUUAUUAGGUAGCCCAUGUGUAUUUGUGUGUUAAAAUUUGACUGAAUUCAGGUGGCUGCAGGAGACAAACAGCUCAUCUUCCAGAUAAAAUGUUUGACCACUAGAGGGCAAUACAAUCAUUUCACUGGUAUUGUGCAUGAAAGAAAAGCUCCUCCUGAUAGGGGGCACACUAUUGGUGCCUCUCCCUGCUGCUUUGUUUACAGUAUCAAUACAAUAGUCAACAUGUGAAUCAACAUGAUGAUUUAUGUGAUGUUAGCGUAGCUGGGGGCUAUGAGCUGAUGUAUUAACAGAAAACUUUAAGGAAGGGAGAAAGACAGGCUGAAGUCAAACAGCGUUAAGUUGCGCGUAGUUGUAGUUUGCAGGACAAACAACAGAACAUGAAGCUUGAAUGAGUCACACUGUUGAAUCAUGAAACUGCAUACUGAGAUAUUGCUGGAAGUUUUUUUUUGCUGACAUUUCGUCACCAGUUUAAUAGAAAACUUUUACAGAACAUGAGGCAGGAAAUGUAAAAAGAAAAUUAUGACAAAGGAAUAUAAAUGUCAAGAGUAUUUAUGGAGAUUUAGUAUUCAAAGAGAAGAAUAAAGACAAGUGAGGCUAAUGUAAAUACAGGCUUGAAAAAGAGGGAAAGCACAUAGACCAAGAGAUAAUGAUAGUGUAGUGAGCAGAGAAGUUGUACAGAGCCUGUGUUUCCCUCCCUCAUUUGUAUAUCUCUGAUUUGCAAUGCAAAAGAGGCUUGUAGAUUGUGACAGAAGUCCACUUGUGCUUGGUCACCUAUUAAAUUAAAUCACAUUGCACUGUACUGCUUGACUCUUCUAAAUCAUCUUGUCGAGCUGCAGAGGCCCAGCUGUUUCGAAUGCUACAACUCAACUCUUUCCACUGCUGUGGAACUUUCUGAGUACUGCUUUGGGUAUACAGUAUGUGAGUACACGCAAUCCAAAACAAGAUAGAAGUUUUGUUUUUGAAGGCCUAAAUCUAUUCAUCAGACCAUGACAUCUGACAUCCAUUCAUGCUGAUAAUUCUGUCUUUCCUUCUUACUGUCUCCCACUCAAACACAUACAUGAUUCCACUCAGUCAGUCAGUAUUCAUUUAGCAUUGUGUCACUGUAAAUAUUGACACUGCAAACAGAGCCCCCUCAUUUACCCCUUAAAAGGCAGUCAGCCAAUGACUCCCUCUGUAAAAACAUGUGCCCCAUAGUGCCGAUAACCAUCUACCUACAAGUGCAAAACUGGAAAAGGUUUUGGCAAUUUUCACCAAUAGCUGUGUGAACGUAACAGGAAUCAACAACCCGGCUCAUAGGCUGCAACAAAGUUAAAAUAGACAUUUAUCCAUAGAUACCAUACUAAAAAACAGAAGUAAAAUCAGUAGUAGAAAACGUAGUAGACUACAUUUUCUACUUGUUUUAAAACCAAAAUGAUCUCUGUCCACUCUACACAAGCGCUUCAGCUCCGUAGCAUAGGCUAACUAUUCUCUGUCCAAAUUAACAUGUCUGACAGCGUAUCACAUAACCCUUCGCAUACACUGGGCAUGUGCGUGCCGGUGUAAACAGGAAGCAGAUUGUCUAACGUCACUCUGCGGUUGAAAAUCAUGGAUGUAUAAGUUGAAAAUACAGAAAAUACUUUGGAGAAAGAACAAUGGCAAAAAGAAAGACCAGGGAUUUAUUUGCUUGGACCGACGAGGUGAAACUGCAAAAAAGAUGGAUCUGGAGGGAUUUCUUUUCUUCACCACCUCUUCCUGCUCAUACAGGAACAUACAGGGGAAUUAUUAUGAGUAAGUUGAUUAUUAGACCUUUAAUCCCUGUAUAUGUAUAUAUACUGUGAAUGCCCCAUCAAUUAAGUACAUACUCUAAGGGGUGAGUUCAAGCUAUUGUUGACUCAGCCAAGAUGCCCUCAAACCAGGCUACUGACCGACCUUUGACCUACCUACUCAGGGAGCAACUAAAACAAGAACUCUAAAACUCUAAAAGUAUUAUCAGCAAACUCUACUUAACGGCAGGGUUUGUAAUGUUGACAGGCUAGCAAGAUUUGAAAGUAGCAUCUCGUCUAACCCCUCCCCUGUCCUCGGGGCUCCCCCCAAAAUAGUCAAGAUGGAGUCUUUUAACUAUUUCUUUUAACUUUUGGGUACUUUUAUCUGUAACAAUGCAUCAUAUUUUAGAAGCUGCUCUUUUAUUUUGGAUGAAACGAUAUACCUGUCAAAUAAACGUAGUGGAGUAGAAGUAUAAAGUAGCACAAAAGAAAAUACUCAAGUAAAGUACCUCAUAAUUGUACUUAAGUACAGUACUUAAAGUAAAUACUACUGUCACCACUGAUUGUUUUAAAAUCCUUAAUGAACUGGUAAGACAUCACAUUUUAUUUACUUACUCACUAAAGGGAAAACGUGUCUCCUAGCCAAGAAGAAAUUUUCCAUUGUAGGGCUGACUCACUCUUUGCAUCUUAUUUGCAUAGUUUUGCAUUCUACCCUGUUGCUUGCCAAGUUAUCCAUUCAGCUGUAUAUUUGUAAAAUAUUGUGCUUUUCUGCGUGUGCCUGAAGGUACUACAUUAUGAUUUGAAGUAAAUCUCAAACUAUGUUUUUUAACUGGUGGUACCUUCUCCUCCCUCGGACAGACAGCUUGUGGUAAAGUCACUGUGAACCUGAGGCUUACAGUAAAGGAUCUUUGUUGUUGUUGCUGUUUCAUCUCUUGUGCAAACACAAGCAAAUGAACCUUUUAGGCGUUUGCACAGCUACAUCCUGUUCCAGAGAAUCCCCCCCCCACCACCACACACACACACACACACACACACACACACACACACACACACACACACACACACACACACACACACACACACACACAAAAAAAAAAAACACAUAGCACUUAUGUUUAGCACCAGGGGCCAGAUAGAUGUUGUCUCGGGGUCCGGCUACUGUGGGGGGCUUCUUUACCUUUAGAGUUACCAGAAGAAGAAGAAAAGAUUUGUGCUGUAGUGGUUUGUUAUUUUUAGGAAUGAAGAACCCAAUUUAAUUUGAAUAACUGCAUUGUGCGCGUUAUGACUGUAGACCAACAAAAACAUCCCUAGGGUAUUGUAUAAUGUCCACUUUUUGCAAUAACUCUGAAUCUGACCUGACAUGUCUUCCUUAGAUUCUUCUCUGGUCAAUAUUAUUAUAUUACAAAGUCAGAAUAAUACAAAUGCUACAAAGACCGGGUGUUCUGACUCAGUCACCAGAUGUAAAUUCAACUUUUUGAAGCUACUUCACAUUAAUACUCAUCCAGCGGUGACGGCUUGCUUUGUAACAGUAUAUCAUAUAAACCAAUACUAUGCACUCAUUUACAUAUGUAGCAUUGAAACCACCGAAAAUGCAUGCCAACUGCAUGGAUGGCAGCAAAUUUAUCUUAAAUGGUGAAAUUGAUGAGAAAAUGUAGUGGAUUCCCUCUGAUAGGCCCAAGUGUUGGCGAGCAUCUGUAGUGCUUAUGAUGAUUAUUAAUUGAGACUUUAAAGACAAAAACAAGUUGCAUGAAUUAAACGUCCACCGCUGCUUCUGCUGAAGAGACAAAAAAUGGCGGCAGACGAAAACAUCAGAUCUGUGGAACGAUAAGGAGACUGUAACCUAUCUCAAAUUAAUACAUGAAACAAACAUAAAGGCCAUAUUUCCAUCAGGUUUUCCCAAUCGUUUUUGUUUAGGAUUUAGCUGGCGCUCUUUUAAUUACAUAAUCUUGUUGCGUCCUCUUCUGCAAUGGUUUAAUGGCAACCGACUGGAGAAUUAGUGCAACCAGCUGUCUAAUGAAAUUUGCGCUACAUUUGGAUGGAAGCUUGAUAGAAAGAGAACAGAAAACACUCUUCCUCUUUGAGAUCAUUUAUUUUCAACUCGGCACUGUUGUCCAGCGAUGGCACAAUUUCUCUCUUAUAGACCAGGUGCCAAAUAUGAAUCAAUGUGACUGUAAUAGUGUCAUUUCUGAAUGAAGCCAUGACGGACAUUUCUGUUUUUUUAUAUUUUGAAAAAAGUGCAGAUGUUUCAUUCAGUUGGAGGAUGAUCAAGGUAAGAAACUGACUUUUAAAGAAUGUUAAAGACAGAUUUUUUACGCUAAAGGGAAAUAUACAGAGUGGUAGCCACAUGACCAUUCAUGGAUGUAGGAUCUUUUGUCACGAUUAUAACUUCAGCAAUAACUUCCUCGUGACACAAUCCUAUCAAAAGUUUCUGAUGAAGUGUUACACUACGCAAAGUGCUGGUUCAACAUGUGUGUACUGUGAGUGUUUAACUUAUCACGGGGUGGUGCAUGUUCAAACUCGUCCAGGAUUCACAGAAAAGACAACACAGUGUUUGUGUGUAUUACAGAGACACAGAUACAGAGAGAGAAGAAGAGGAGGAACUCAUCCAUCUUACUGUAAUCAGCACUUACCCAUGUUCCUUAAGUGUAAAGAACUUACAUCUUCCUUACACUUAUGAUGUUUUGUCUUUAAGUUUGUUUCUUCUUUUUUCACUUAGGCCUCCUUCUUUUGGUACCUGUUAGUCCUGCAGAGCGAGUAGCUAACAGUUCCAUCAAUCACACCUUGUGAUCAUCUUGGCACUUAUUGUAAACCAUACACACAUCUUCAACUUCACAACUUGCCCUCACACACAUCCUGUACUUACUGAAAUGUGUAAAGAAGAGCAUCAGAAGGGGCCCUGUUGCUGUAGCACAUACACACAGUCUAACCCAGUUCCAAGUGCCCUGCGACACAUGCCCACACACUUUUUGUAUGUGCAAGUGCCUUGUAUGUGUUUUUGUAUGUGUGUGUGUGUGUGUGUGUGUGUGUGUGUGUGCGUGUGUGUGUGUGUGUGUGUGUGUGUGUGUGUGUGUGUGUGUGUGUGUGUGUGUGUUAUCAAGGCCCUGUGUUUCCUGUUUUGCAAUCCUCACCAUGCCCUCCAAGAAAACGUCUGCUGCUGGCUGAUUCAGGAACAGCCGGUUUUCUCUGCCCCCCCCCCUCGGAGAGGGCAUUCAACACUACGGGAUCUGCAGCCUCCAUUUGUUUAAAUAAAAAUCUCAUAUCACAAAGCUUUUAUUAUAUGGUUUUAUGUUACUGUGCCUUUCGUCAGACAAUAAACACAGUUAUUACGAUCCAAACCCUUACAAAUUAUCCAGUAUAACUUGAUUUUAGCCUGCAAUAAAUUCCAAAGCUGAGCUUAAAAAUACGUGUUGAGGGAGAAAAGGAAGCACAUUUUAGAUGCAAUUCAUUGUCCAUGCUUCUCAUUUUUAGCUGUCAGCCUUUGAUUUAUGCCGGCUGUAUUGACUUGAACUGUCAGUGACCAAUUUUAUCAGCUGUAGCUAGCUAACUAAUUAAGCUAACUCGACCAGUUGGUUGAAAACACCUUCUCCAGUCGCUUCCUUCUUCCAGCUGACUUGUUCUAAGAUAAGAAUCCUUUAAAAUGCACUUGAUGGCUACAUACAUGAUAAAUGACUGAUGCUAAAGCUACCAAGGCAAAAAGUGUCCAUGUAGAAUAUGUUGUAUUGCAGUGUAGAACAAAGGCUGGUACAAUG